UAACACGUGGGUAAUCUGCCUGUAAGACGGGGAUAACUCCGGGAAACCGGGGCUAAUACCGGAUAACAAGAGAAGAAGCAUUUCUUCUUUUUGAAAGUCGGUUUCGGCUGACACUUACAGAUGAGCCCGCGGCGCAUUAGCUAGUUGGUGAGGUAACGGCUCACCAAGGCGACGAUGCGUAGCCGACCUGAGAGGGUGAUCGGCCACACUGGGACUGAGACACGGCCCAGACUCCUACGGGAGGCAGCAGUAGGGAAUCUUCGGCAAUGGGCGAAAGCCUGACCGAGCAACGCCGCGUGAGCGAUGAAGGCCUUCGGGUCGUAAAGCUCUGUUGUUAGAGAAGAACAAGUACGAGAGUAACUGCUCGUACCUUGACGGUACCUAACCAGAAAGCCACGGCUAACUACGUGCCAGCAGCCGCGGUAAUACGUAGGUGGCAAGCGUUAUCCGGAAUUAUUGGGCGUAAAGCGCGCGCAGGCGGUCUCUUAAGUCUGAUGUGAAAGCCCACGGCUCAACCGUGGAGGGUCAUUGGAAACUGGGAGACUUGAGUGCAGGAGAGAAAAGUGGAAUUCCACGUGUAGCGGUGAAAUGCGUAGAGAUGUGGAGGAACACCAGUGGCGA
rnacentral:rRNA from 1 species